CCUACAUGAAGUUGGAAUUGCUAGUAAUGGCAGGUCAGCAUACUGCCGUGAAUACGUUCCCGGGGCCUUGUACACACCGCCCGUCACACCAUGAGAGUUGGAGAUACCCGAAGCCUGUGAGCUAACUUUUUAAGAGGCAGCAGUCGAAGGUAGAAUCAAUGAUUGGGGUGAAGUCGUAACAAGGUAGC
rnacentral:rRNA from 1 species